CCAUCCGGGGCCUUACAGCUGCCUCUCUGUGGCCAUCCGGGGCCUUACAGCUGGUACUGCGGUGGCUGUAGCGGUGGCCUUCCUCUUCUUGGUUUUUGCCCGCCCCGCUGUGCUCUCUGGAAGAUGGUACUUGUGCUCAACACCAGGCUGUUGAGGAGCAAUAGCGGGGCGGACAAUAGCCGCUGGUAAGGCCUCGGUGGCCACUGGGAUGGGGGCAGGAACCUGUGGGGCAGCACCCGGAGCGGUGACAGCAGAUGACUGGGCAGGUGGUGGUGGUGGUGGCGGCGGAGAAGGAGGAGGUGGAAGAGAGGACCAGGAACCACUGGUGGAGGGCUGAGCAGGUGGUGGUGGUGGCGGCGGAAGAGAGGACCACCAGGAACCACUGGAGGAGAAUUGGGCAGGUGGUGCAGUGGCGAUGAAGGCAGACAUGACCUCCAGACUCGUCACUGUGGGGUCAAUGACGUCCUCCUGGAAGCCCUCAUCCUCUGCCUCGUCGCCCAGGGCCAAGUCCUCCAGCAGCUGCUCUGUGCCCUCAAACUCAGGAUCCAUGUCCUGCAUGCUGUUCCCCGUCUGCCUGUAGAGGUAGUCGACACCUAUCAACUCUCCUGGGAAUGAAAACAAUAAUGGAAUUAGUAUAACAAGUAUAUCGACGAUGUGUGGAACCCAUAUCUUGGGUCUGAUUAUAGAUAGAAAAUGUGCACCCCACAUUCAUGUCAUUAUUUUAUCAUAGUACUUUCUUGUUAUGACUUAUAUGAAAUAUGUUAACAUAUUUAUUAUUUGAUGACAUGAUCACCUGCAACAGUAUAUAUAUUAUAUAUACUGCAAUAUUAGAAUUUGCAAACAUGCAAAUACGUGAUCUAAUCUGUCUUGCCGAAUUAAAGACAUUUUAUUUCCAACGUACACAUGCCUUGUGGUCAUUUCAUGUCCACGUGUGAAACACAAGAACACAAAAUAAAACAACAUAUGUUGAGUAUUGCAAGUAAUCCCUAUUCAGUGUAACUUACCAGUGUACUUGGCGGGGGGGCGGAAGGAGGGGACAUACUUCCGUCCAAACACCUUGGAGCC
ensembl:lncRNA